rnacentral:rRNA from 1 species
CCUACGGGUGGCAGCAGUGGGGAAUAUUGGACAAUGGGCGAAAGCCUGAUCGAGCCAUGCCGCGUGUGUGAAGAAGGCCUUCGGGUUGUAAAGCACUUUCAGUGGGGAAGAAAGCCUUGGGGCUAAUACCCUCGAGGAAGGACAUCACCCACAGAAGAAGCACCGGCUAACUCCGUGCCAGCAGCCGCGGUAAUACGGAGGGUGCGAGCGUUAAUCGGAAUUACUGGGCGUAAAGCGCGCGUAGGCGGUCUGAUAAGCCGGUUGUGAAAGCCCCGGGCUCAACCUGGGAACGGCAUCCGGAACUGUCAGGCUAGGGUGCAGGAGAGGAAGGUAGAAUUCCCGGUGUAGCGGUGAAAUGCGUAGAGAUCGGGAGGAAUACCAGUGGCGAAGGCGGCCUUCUGGACUGACACUGACGCUGAGGUGCGAAAGCGUGGGUAGCAAACAGGAUUAGAUACCCCAGUGUC